rnacentral:lncRNA from 1 species
GAAUCUCUAAAGUCUAGAAGAAAGCGAUCCUAAUUAAUCAAAUCUUUCAUCCAACUAAUUCAACAAUUUUCCACAUUGUUUUACAUUUCGUUCGAUUUUCUUCCUUGAAAAUUUCAGAUACACAUUAAAUGGGUCAUGAACAUUCGAGAUCAAAUUCAUCCCUUGAAGAUUUCGCCGACAACUCAAAAUAAUCGCGGAUGAGAAGACCAAUUUGUAACACCAAUUUGAGAAACCUCUCUCUCUCUUCCCCAUUAUUUAUUAUUUCUCCCUCUAAAAUUUUC